rnacentral:rRNA from 1 species
CAGUAGCCGCGGUAAUACAGAGGGUGCGAGCGUUAAUCGGUUUUACUGGGCGUAAAGCGUGCGUAGGCGGCUUCUUAAGUCGGAUGUGAAAUCCCUGAGCUUAACUUAGGAAUUGCAUUCGAUACUGGGAAGCUAGAGUAUGGGAGAGGAUGGUAGAAUUCCAGGUGUAGCGGUGAAAUGCGUAGAGAUCUGGAGGAAUACCGAUGGCGAAGGCAGCCAUCUGGCCUAAUACUGACGCUGAGGUACGAAAGCAUGGGGAGCAAACAGGAUUAGAUACCCGCGUAGUCCCUGUCUCUUAUAC